rnacentral:rRNA from 1 species
UACGUAGGGGGCUAGCGUUGCUCGGAAUUACUGGGCGUAAAGGGCGCGUAGGCGGCUUGGCAAGUGGAAGGUGAAAUCCCUCGGCUUAACCGAGGAACUGCCCUCCAAACUGCUUUGCUUGAGGCCGGGAGAGGCGAGUGGAAUUCCCAGUGUAGCGGUGAAAUGCGUAGAUAUUGGGAGGAACACCAGUGGCGAAGGCGGCUCGCUGGACCGGUUCUGACGCUGAUGCGCGAAAGCGUGGGGAGCAAACGGG